CCUACGGGGAGCAGCAGUGAGGAAUAUUGGUCAAUGGACGAGAGUCUGAACCAGCCAAGUAGCGUGAAGGAUGACUGCCCUAUGGGUUGUAAACUUCUUUUAUAUGGGAAUAAAAUGUUCCACGUGUGGGAUUUUGUAUGUACCCUAUGAAUAAGGAUCGGCUAACUCCGUGCCAGCAGCCGCGGUAAUACGGAGGAUCCGAGCGUUAUCCGGAUUUAUUGGGUUUAAAGGGAGCGUAGGUGGAUUGUUAAGUCAGUUGUGAAAGUUUGCGGGUCAACCGUAAAAUUGCAGUUGAAACUGGCAGUCUGGAGUACGGUAGAGGUGGGCGGAAUUCGUGGUGUAGCGGUGAAAUGCUUAGAUAUCACGAAGAACUCCGAUUGCGAAGGCAGCUCACUGGACUGCAACUGACACUGAGGCUCGAAAGUGUGGGUAUCAAACAGGAUUAGAUACCCGGGUAGUC
rnacentral:rRNA from 1 species